GCACGUCUAAGUACUCGCCUUGUCUAUUAAAGUGAAACCGCGAAUGGNNNANNAAAUCAGUUAUGGUUCACUAGAUCGUACCUCAUUCUACUCGGAUAACUGUGGUAAUUCUAGAGCUAAUACAUGCAACUAGGCCCUGCCCGGCCGCCUUCACGGGUGGUCGGAAAGGGCGCCAUUAUCAGCCCAAAACCGACCGGGUUGCUCCUCGGGGCUCCCGUCCUUAUACCCUUUGACGACUCUGGAUAACCUUCUAGCGGAUCGCCGGUAAACUAGGUUGGCCGGGCGGUGACGUCCGCGUCCGGCCUACGGCGACUAGUCUUUCGAAUGUCUGCCUUAUCAACUGUCGACGGUAGGUUAGACGCCUACCGUGGUCGUAACGGGUGACGGGGAAUCAGGGUUCGAUUCCGGAGAGGGAGCCUGAGAAACGGCUACCACAUCCAAGGAAGGCAGCAGGCACGCAAAUUACCCAAUCCCUGCACGGGGAGGUAGUGACGAAAAAUAACGAUACGGGACUCUUAACGAGGCCUCGUAAUCGGAAUGAGUCCGCUCUAAAUCCUUUAACGAGGAUCUAUCGGAGGGCAAGUCUGGUGCCAGCAGCCGCGGUAAUUCCAGCUCCGAUAGCGUAUAUUAAAGUUGCUGCGGUUAAAAAGCUCGUAGUUGGAUUUGGGUUUUCGGGCCGGCGGGCCGCCGCCUUCGAGCGGCGCGUUUCCCGCCGCGCCCCCGGAACCGCACGGUCGCAGAGGCCCCCGCGGUGCUCUUGAGUGAGUGUCCGCGGUCUCGGGUCGCCGAACGUUUACUUUGAAAAAAUUAGAGUGCUCCAGGCAGGCCGGUAAAGCGUUUUUAAACCCGCGCCUGAAUAGUCACGCAUGGAAUAAUGAAAGAGGACUGGUGGUCCUAUUUUGUUGGUUUUCGGGAUUUUCCGCCGUCAUGAUUAAGAGGGACGGCCGGGGGCAUUCGUACCGCGGCGCGAGAGGUGAAAUUCUAGGACCGUCGCGAGACGAACCGUUGCGAAAGCAUUUGCCAAGAAUGUUUUCCUUAAUCAAGAACGAAAGUCAGAGGUUCGAAGGCGAUCAGAUACCGCCCUAGUUCUGACCGUAAACGAUGCCACCUGACGAUCCGCCAGGGUUACUACCAUGACUCGGCGGGCAGCCCCCGGGAAACCCAAGCCUUCGGGUUCCGGGGGAAGUAUGGUUGCAAAGCUGAAACUUAAAGGAAUUGACGGAAGGGCACCACCAGGAGUGGAGCCUGCGGCUUAAUUUGACUCAACACGGGGAACCUCACCCGGCCCGGACACCGCGAGGAUUGACAGAUUGAGAGCUC
rnacentral:rRNA from 1 species